UACCCCAAACCGACACAGGUGGUCAGGUAGAGAAUACCAAGGCGCUUGAGAGAACUCGGGUGAAGGAACUAGGCAAAAUGGUGCCGUAACUUCGGGAGAAGGCACGCUGAUAUGUAGGUGAAGCGACUUGCUCGUGGAGCUGAAAUCAGUCGAAGAUACCAGCUGGCUGCAACUGUUUAUUAAAAACACAGCACUGUGCAAACACGAAAGUGGACGUAUACGGUGUGACGCCUGCCCGGU
rnacentral:rRNA from 1 species